GACGAAGGGGGCAAGCGUUGUUCGGAAUUACUGGGCGUAAAGGGCGCGUAGGCGGUCUUGUUAGUCAGGCGUGAAAGCCCUGGGCUUAACCUAGGAUGUGCGCUUGAUACUGCGAGGCUUGAGUGUGGGAGAGGUUGGUGGAAUUCCCAGUGUAGAGGUGAAAUUCGUAGAUAUUGGGAAGAACACCGGUGGCGAAGGCGGCCAACUGGACCACAACUGACGCUGAGGCGCGAAAGCGUGGGGAGCAAACAGG
rnacentral:rRNA from 2 species